rnacentral:misc_RNA from 1 species
AAGUCGUAACAAGGUUUCCGUUGGUGAACCAGCGGAAGGAUCAUUACCAUAAUCCAUUAAAAGAUUAUAUCAAUCAACUAUGUGAACUUGUAAUUGUCUUUUGGGAUAUGUAUAUUAUUCCAAAUGUAUGUGUUUAUAUUAUUUAUAAUAUAAACCUCCAUACAUUUUAUAUACAGACUCCCAAGUGUCAUUUCCGCAAGGAAGUGCCACUUAUUAAAACCAUAAGAUAAAACAAAUAUACUGAAUAAAAAACAUAAUGUAGAAAUACAUUAUGAAAAUAUUAAUAUAUGACAACUUUUAACGGCGGAUCUCUUGGCUCGU